rnacentral:rRNA from 1 species
CUGAUGUUAGCGGCGGACGGGUGAGUAACACGUGGGUAACCUACCUAUAAGACUGGGAUAACUCCGGGAAACCGGGGCUAAUACCGGAUAAUAUUUUGAACCGCAUGGUUCAAUAGUGAAAGACGGUCUCGGCUGUCACUUAUAGAUGGACCCGCGCCGUAUUAGCUAGUUGGUAAGGUAACGGCUUACCAAGGCGACGAUACGUAGCCGACCUGAGAGGGUGAUCGGCCACACUGGAACUGAGACACGGUCCAGACUCCUACGGGAGGCAGCAGCC